GCUUUGAUUUAUACAUCUUCACAGUUUUAUUGUCGGCACGCAGUCAACGCCCCAUUCCAGCACCCCGGCACAAGUUCAUCUCUGGGUCUUCGUGUCAUGGUCCGAGAUAUAUGAUUCAUUUCAAAAUGAUUUGCUAUGCCACGGCCAGCUUGGAAGCAAGGGAGCUAACCAAGUGCAGGUGCCUAGUGCCUAGUGCCUAGUGCCUGGUGCCUGGUGCCUGCAUCGCCCCACUUUGAAGUUCAGAUCCUAAAUCGGAUACAUUUCUCAUGGACAUGAUGGUUAGUUUUAUAUUUGCAAUACCCACAAUGCGAGAGAGUAAUUUGAAGACAGAAUUCUGUCGAUUCAGAGCCAACAACAAGACGAAUUCAAAUCGAACGCAUAAAUUAGUCAGAAAUAAGCGCGAAAACGUGUUUUAAAUUUUUGUUUUCAUUUCACGCGCUGCCUGAAAGAAUGAAACGAACCAAAACCAAAUCGAAAUCCGAAAACUGAAAACCAAAAACCGAAAACCGAAACCAAGCCAAAAACUGAGAAGCGAACCGAAAACCGAACGGCCAUCCAAAUGAAAUGAGACGAACAGCUAGCGGGGAGCACUCAUUGAUUAAUGCAUUUAUAAUUAAUUUAUUGUACGGGGAGCAGUCUUCUUCACCGAACCAAAGGCAGCCUGGCAUGACAUAAGUUUUUCCUUUUCUUUCUUUUUGAAACUGGAGCUGCAACUGCAGCCGAAACUGGGUGCCUCAUGCGGAUGGACACAAUUUGCCUGUAACCUAAUUUCAGCAGAAAUAUUUAUAUUGAUCGAAAGGGGCCCGAUCAUGCUGGGUUCGAAUACAAAUCGAGCCGGUGAUUGAUGAUGUAUGAUUGUCAGGACGACUUUAGUCCAUUUUCAUACACAUUCCGCUCCGAAUUCACCGAUUUGGCAUUCUACAUUAUAAAUUCUGCAUUCUGCAAGUCACUCGAAGUUCGAGUUUCAGCGGCGGCAAAUGGCAAACGAGAAAUCCCGGCAAAAGUCACAUACAUUAGAACGCAUUAAAGUGUAACCAGAAAGGGGCGAGGCCGCAGCGGAAAAGCGGAGGAAAAGAAAGGCGGCGAGAGAGGAAACCCCUCGAGCAUUUCCAAGCUGCAAUUGUUGCAAUUGUAAGGCAGCAUUUUUGUGAAAAUAUGCACUGGGCGAAAUGAAAAGAA